GGCCUGCUGGCGAAAUGGCAUCGCGUCAGAUUUCGGCUGCCUUCAAGUCAUACUCUGAAGAUUGUAGGUUCGAUCCCUACGUAGGUCG
rfam:Colletotrichum chlorophyti strain NTL11 CCHL11_scaffold155, whole genome shotgun sequence.